rnacentral:rRNA from 1 species
UACGAAGGGGGCUAGCGUUGCUCGGAAUCACUGGGCGUAAAGCGCACGUAGGCGGACUCUUAAGUCGGUGGUGAAAUCCUGGAGCUCAACUCCAGAACUGCCUUCGAUACUGAGAGUCUCGAGUCCGAGAGAGGUGAGUGGAACUGCGAGUGUAGAGGUGAAAUUCGUAGAUAUCGAGGGGAACACCGGUGGCGAAGGCGGCCUUCUGGACAGUGACUGACGCUGAGACGCGAAAGCGUGGGGAGCAAACAGG